UGUAUUCAUUUAAAGUGAAUACACAGGCAGUGAAAGUCGGGCCGGUUUAAUUCCCUCGUCUCGGUAUAGUCCUUCUUCAGACCAGACGUUCCCAUGAUUUUGCUCACUCGUUUUCAUUAACUUCUUCAAGUGCAUUAAUAUCUGAAUACAGCCACUGCCAACGCACUGCGGAUAAUUUAGUUGUAUAUUUGAUAUUGUGUGAUAUUCACGAUAAUGGCUAUUAUAAUCCCCGUAUUCUUGCCACUUUGGGUGCUUCUCAUUUCUUAUUUGUGACAAAUCAGGUUCUCCCUCGAAAUCGGAUCUCUGUUAGGACACCAAGAGAUCUCAAAUUAAUUGUAAUAGGUAAAAAUCAUUGGUGAAGUCACCAGAUGUGGAUGGCGUGUAUGUUGUUCGACAUUGCAGCGUGCUGAUGAGUUAAUAAAGAGGCAGCAAAAACCUGGGAUCUGCAUUGGCCCUGUCAAGUCUGGAGAGUGUUUUUACCAUUUAAUGAAUUCAAUUGUAAUAAAAGUUUUUAAAUGGA